rnacentral:tRNA from 1 species
AUCUUUCUAGUAUUAAUGUUAGUAUAAGUGACUUCCAAUCACCCCGGCCUUGGUUAAACCCCAAGGAAAGAUA